UCAGAAGUCAGUUUUUGCAAACCAACAAGAAAUUCAAGUAUUUUUUUCUAAAUUAGAAAUAUUGAAAACUCAGUCUGAGACAAACAAGAAGUGCUUCAAACAAGCAAAAUCAAGAUCAAAAGACUCCAAUAACACUUGAUUAACUUUAUCAAUAAAGUUAACUUUUAGCGGCCUAUAUACAGAGUUUGCUUUUUCUAAACCAUUCUUCCUCUAAAAGCGACUGCAUAAAUUACAAAAACGUAGACAAGUGGCUCGAUUAGAAACAAAUCAUUGAUUAAAAGGUUGCUACAAUUUUGGUGAGCUUUUCAAUACUUUACAACUGCAGUUAUUUCGGGCCAAAUCAUUUGGGUACGUUUGGUAACAUUAAUAUUUUCAAUUUAUUGGUAGGUGCAGAUUUUAUUUAUAUAAGAAAUUAUAUAAAAAUAUUUUUAUUUUGCCACUUAUUAAGAUGU